rnacentral:lncRNA from 1 species
AUGACUUAUUUCGACGGUGUAGCGCCUUGAUAAGCGCAGCUAGUUUCGUAUGCAGCUCAGGAUUGUCGCUUGCUCCUCGUCGCUGUCACUGUCGACAUCGUUGAUCAUUGCCAAUGGGCCAUGGAAGAGGUGAAGACCACAGGAACAACAAAGGUAAAACCACCAACAGGAACAGCGGCACCAAUUGUCAAUUCUGAUGAUGAUGAUGAUGUUGUUCCUUCGAACAGUCGGUUCUUGCACUGAAAGAAAUAGGUGUGUCGCUUUAAAAAGCUAGCCCGACUUUAGCAUAUACAUAUAAGAAAUACCAAU